rnacentral:rRNA from 1 species
GAUGAACGCUGGCGGCGUGCCUAACACAUGCAAGUCGAACGCUCGCAAGAGAGUGGCGCACGGGUGAGUAACACGUAGCUAAUCUGCCCUCAAGACAAGGAUAACUGUAGGAAACUACUGCUAAUACUUGAUAAGCUUACGGACUGUAGAGGUCUAUAAGAAAAGAUUUAUCGCUUGAGGAUGAGGCUGCGCGCCAUCAGCUAGUUGGUAAGGUAAUGGCUUACCAAGGCGACGACGGCUAGGGGACCUGAGAGGGUGACCCCCCCACACUGGGACUGAGACACGGCCCAGACUCCUACGGGAGGCAGCAGUGAGGAAUAUUGCUCAAUGGGCGCAAGCCUGAAGCAGCGACGCCGCGUGGAUGAAGAAGGUUUUCGGACUGUAAAAUCCUUUUCUGUGUGACGAGAGUGGACGGUAGCACAGGAGUAAGUCUCGGCUAACUACGUGCCAGCAGCCGCGGUAAU